GGUCCCGUAGUGGAGCGGUUUAACACGCACUGCCUGUCACGCAGGAGAUCGCGGGUUCGAUUCCCGUCGGGACCGCCA
rnacentral:tRNA from 1 species